GCUACGGGAGGCAGCAGUGGGAAUUUUUGGACAAUGGGGGGCAACCCUGAUCCAGCCAUGCCGCGUGCGGGAAGAAGGCUUCGGGUUGUAAACCGGUUUUGUCGGGUAGAAGCGCUUCGGGCUCAUACCUCGAAGUAAUGACGGUACCCGAAGAAUAAGCUCCGAUGCUAACUACGUGCCAGCAGCCGCGGUAAUACGUAGGGUGCAAGCGUUAAUCGGAAUUACUGGGCGUAAAGCGUGCGCAGGCGGCCUUGCAAGACACAUGUGAAAUCCCCGGGCUCAACCUGGGAACUACAAUUUGUGACUGCACGGCUGGAGUGCGGCAGAGGGGGAUGGAAUUCCGCGUGUAGCAGUGAAAUGUCGUAGAUAUGCGGAGGAACACCGAUGGCGAAGGCAAUCCCCUGGGCCUGCACUGACGCUCAUGCACGAAAGCGUGGGGAGCAAACAGGAUUAGAUACCCUGGUAGUCCACGCCCUAAACGAUGUCAACUGGUUGUUGGGAAGGUUCCUUCUCAGUAACGUAGCUAACGCGUGAAGUUGACCGCCUGGGGAGUACGGCCGCAAGGUUGAAACUCAAAUGAAUUGACGGG
rnacentral:rRNA from 1 species